UACGUAGGGGGCAAGCGUUAUCCGGAUUUACUGGGUGUAAAGGGGGCGCAGACGGCGAUGCAAGCCAGGAGUAAAAGCCCGGGGCCCAACCCCGGGAGUGCAUUGGGAACUGGCAAGCUAGAGUGUCGGAGAGGCAGGCGGAAUUCCUAGUGUAGCGGUGAAAUGCGUAGAUAUUAGGAGGAACACCAGUGGCGAAGGCGGCCUGCUGGACGAUGACUGACGCUGAGGCUCGAAAGCGUGGGGAGCAAACAGG
rnacentral:rRNA from 1 species